rnacentral:rRNA from 1 species
UCCGUAGGGCGCAAGCGUUGUCCGGAAUUAUUGGGCGUAAAGAGCUCGUAGGCGGCUUGUUGCGUCGGUUGUGAAAGCCCGGGGCUUAACCCCGGGUCUGCAGUCGAUACGGGCAGGCUAGAGUGUGGUAGGGGAGAUCGGAAUUCCUGGUGUAGCGGUGAAAUGCGCAGAUAUCAGGAGGAACACCGGUGGCGAAGGCGGAUCUCUGGGCCAUUACUGACGCUGAGGAGCGAAAGCGUGGGGAGCGAACAGG